rnacentral:rRNA from 1 species
AUUGAACGCUGGCGGCAGGCCUAACACAUGCAAGUCGAGCGAGCGGCGGACGGGUGAGUAAUGUAUGGGGACUGCCCGAUAGAGGUGGAUAACUACUGGAAACGGUGGCCAAUACCGCAUAUUGCAGGAUAACCCAUAUGGGAUUAGCUACUAGGUAAGGUAAUGGCGUACCUAGGCGACGAUCCCUAGCUGUUCUGAGAGGAUGAGCAGACACACUGGGACUGAGACACGGCCCAGACUCCUACGGAGGCAGCAGUGGGGAAUAUUGCACAAUGGGCGCAAGCCUGAUGCAGCCACGCCGCGUGUAUGAAGAAGGCCCUAGGGUUGUAAAGUUCUUUCAGUCGGGAGGCGUUACCGACAUAGGAAGCACCGGCUAACUCCGUGCCAGCCGCCGCGGUAAUUC